UACGGAGGGUGCAAGCGUUAUCCGGAUUCACUGGGUUUAAAGGGUGCGUAGGCGGCCUAUUAAGUCAGGGGUGAAAGACGGUGGCUCAACCAUCGCAGUGCCUUUGAUACUGAUAGGCUUGAAUACACUAGAGGUAGGCGGAAUGUGACAAGUAGCGGUGAAAUGCAUAGAUAUGUCACAGAACACCGAUUGCGAAGGCAGCUUACUAUGGUGUCAUUGACGCUGAGGCACGAAAGCGUGGGGAUCAAACAGG
rnacentral:rRNA from 1 species